rnacentral:rRNA from 1 species
UACAUAGGUCUCAAGCGUUGUUCGGAUUCAUUGGGCGUAAAGGGUGUGUAGGUGGCGCUGUACGUCGGGUGUGAAAUCUCGGGGCUUAACUCCGAAACUGCAUUCGAUACUGCGGUGCUUGAGGACUGGAGAGGAGACUGGAAUUCAUGGUGUAGCAGUGAAAUGCGUAGAGAUCAUGAGGAAGACCAGUGGCGAAGGCGGGUCUCUGGACAGUACCUGACACUGAGACACGAAGGCCAGGGGAGCAAACGGG